UACGUAGGGUCCGAGCGUUGUCCGGAAUUAUUGGGCGUAAAGAGCUCGUAGGCGGCAUGUCGCGUCUGCUGUGAAAGACCGGGGCUUAACUCCGGUUCUGCAGUGGAUACGGGCAUGCUAGAGGUAGGUAGGGGAGACUGGAAUUCCUGGUGUAGCGGUGAAAUGCGCAGAUAUCAGGAGGAACACCGGUGGCGCAGGCGGGUCUCUGGGCCUUACCUGACGCUGAGGAGCGAAAGCAUGGGUAGCGAACAGGAUUAGAUA
rnacentral:rRNA from 1 species